rnacentral:rRNA from 1 species
AACGCGAAGAACCUUACCUGGGCUUGAACAGCGAGUGACCACUCACGAAAGUGAGCUUCCGCAAGGACACUCGUAGAGGUGCUGCAUGGCUGUCGUCAGCUCGUGUCGUGAGAUGUUGGGUUAAGUCCCGCAACGAGCGCAACCCUUGUUUGCUGUUGCCAUCAGGUUAUGCUGGGCACUCUGCAAAGACUGCCGGUGAUAAACCGGAGGAAGGUGGGGAUGACGUCAAGUCAGCAUGGCCUUUAUGUCUGGGGCCACACACGUGCUACAAUGGCCGACACAAACCGUCGCGAGCCCGCGAGGGGGAGCUAAUCGCAAAAAACCGGUCUCAGUUCGGAUCGCAGGCUGCAACUCGCCUGCGUGAAGCUGGAAUCGCUAGUAAUGGCGUAUCAGAACGAUGCCGUGAAUACGUUCCCGGGCCUUGUACACACCGCACGA